AUCUAAUGUCAAGAUACGAGCAUAAGAUAGAAACUUCUCUUGAGGGAAUUGAGCACCUAUCCAAAGAGAGACCAAAAAAGAAAGAA
rnacentral:rRNA from 1 species